AGAUGCGGGGCAUGAAUGGGCAGAGACACCCUGAGUAAUAUCCUCAGAUGCAGGACAGACCCGGUGACUGUGGGCGCUCCUGCUACAAACUGCUGUCGCCCAGGCGUCACCGUCGUGCCGUCGCGUCAGUUCUCUUGGGAAUGGAAGCUCCUUGGGGCUGGCUGCGGGCAGCCUUCGGUGGCCCCGGUCCUGAGGACAUGAGGUGUCCUGGUGGCAGCACCUGGCCCCGCAGCUUGCCCUCCACACGGCAGCGUGUGGCUCUUCCUCUCUGUGUUGUGUCCUCCAGAUCUGUGACCCCUCCUUUAGGGGUGCAAGGCUGCCGCAGAUGGGAGAAGGGGCUCCUGAAGGAUCAAAUGAGGCGAAACUCUGGACAUUGUGUGACUGCUUUUAGACGAUGGAUGGGUAGGUGGAUGGACCGAUGGCUAGGUGAUAGAUAGACAGACAUGCAUGUGAAUUGUUCCCUGCCUCAGCCGUCUGAUAGAAAUCCACGUGGCUCUGUUGCCAUGGCCCCUGCUGCCCUGCUGUGCGCUCAUCUCAGAAUGUAAGUUCUGGACGCGAGGGUCGUGGUCACUCUGACUGGCCUCUGCACCAAAGUUCCAUUCCCAGCAGGAGGCCACAGGAUUCUGCAGGAACCUGGAGCCUGUGCAGGAGGGACGGACUGACUUGCACAAACACGCACUUGCUCGCAUUCUGGCUCAGACUCGCACACGCAUCUCACGCUCGCGCUCCCACCUUACAGCCCGGGAGAACCCGGAAGAGCAGGGAGGCUUGUGCUCUCGGGACUCAGGUGAGGAAGCUGAGGCCCGGGUUGCCUUCGCUGAAGGAGUCAGGUCAUGAGAGCCUGCUCUUUGGGGUGAGCUGAGGAAACUCCGUUCUUUGUCAAUGCUCCCCAAUUCCAGGGAACCUUGAGAUCCCUCCUGCGUGGGCGAGGACCGCUGCGGGCUGGAAAGUCAUCGACACCACUGAGCAGCGGCUCAGGAAGGCACAGGGUCAGUUGCAUCCAUGCUGCUGCAAGUGGCGUUAGUACAGCAGAGACGGGCACGACGUCGUAAAUCAACUAUAUCUCAAUUAAGAAAAGAAAAGAAGAUUUAAAAGUUGUGCACGGCCUGAUGCAACUAUUGGUCCUGGCUUUCAGGGCAGCUUCUUGAGAAAAUAAUGCAAAAUUCUGGAGAUUAAAAAAAGUUUUAGAAGACAAGGACAGGUUGCCAGUGAGCUUCAUCUCGCUGCUCCUGCGGUGUUCCCUGUCUUGCCACCUGCCCAGGGGAGAAGCUGUGUCCUCUUCCUGACUCUCGCCAGCCACGUGUGCCCUCCAGGCCUCCGUUGCGUCAAUGGCCCAGGGGUGUGACAGCCUCCUCCCACAGGGGCUGUCACAGAACUGUAGUCGACAGUUGGCGGGGUGCCCGGGAUGAUGACAAUUUAAUAAACGUUGGGCGCGUCCUGCUCUAGGUAUUCCGGCACAGCUUGGUGAUGGCAGGUGGCCUAAGGGGAAGAGUGAACCGUCUGUUUCGGACUUUGCUCUAGAAGAUUCUGUUACUGGACAACCCUCUAGGUCCCCCACCAGAUCCCGUGGUUCCUCCAGGCCAGCCCUUUCCUGACCUGGGGUUGAGAUGCCAGAGGACAGACUCGGCGAUGGGGGACCAUGGACCUCCACUUGGGACUUGGGAAGCUGUCGCCGCCGACACAGCCUGUGGGACCCAUCCCCCAGUGGAGAAGGCACGCGGACGCGGACAGAGCUCACGGCCUCGUCCCCUCGGACCUUGACCUGUUAGUUUUUACUACGGUCGUUUCUUGAGUGUCCGUUCAUUGAACUCUCAUCACAGACAGAGCGCCCACGUGCCCAGCCGAGGGCCCAGACGCCGUCACACGAAGGCAUGGUCUCUGCCCUCAUUUCAGUUGGCUGCUUCUUUCCAACUAAAAGUAAAACGUUUAAACCAAGUAACGAUUUGUUUUCUAAUCCAGAUGUACACUUCUGGACUGGGUCUGUGCUUGCUGUUUCUGCCUCUGGUUUUCCAAAUCUGUAAAGCUGGGGCGUGUUCAGCAUGACAGUGAGGGAUGUUGGCUAAGAGGGGGGAGACAACACACGUGCCGUGCUGGUCUCGGUGCUUGGGUGGGCGCCGGUAAGCACAGAGUGACCGGAGAUAGAGCGUGCUGGGCGUGACUAAGUGAAAAGCACACGGGCUUUUGACCAUCUCUUCCCUUUAGAGGAACAUCAUGAUUGCCAAUUCUUUUUUUUUUUUUUUAAUUUAUUGAAGUAUAGUUGAUUUAUGAUGUUACGUUCAUUUUUGCUGUAUAGUAAAGUGAUUCAGUUAUACAUAUAUAUUCUUUUUCAUAUUCUUUUCCAUUAUGGUUGAUCACAAGAUUUUGAAUAGAGUUCCCUGUGCUCUACAGUAGGACCUUGUUGUUUAUCCAUUCUUUAUAUAAUAGUUUGCAUCUGCUCAUCCCAAACUCCCAAUCCAUCCCUCCCCCACCUCCUCCCACUUUUUAUUGCCAUUUCUUGAGGCUGUAUUUUUAGUGAGCUCCUUAGGAUUUCAACUUGUAGAAAUGCUUCCAUAAAUCAAAUUUAAUGAUACCUUUUAACCAGCCCCCCAAGUGCCAGGUGGUCUCCAUAAGAUGACAAAUAACAUAAAAGAAUAAAAUAAUCAGCUGGAGAAAACUUGCAGAGCAUCAGGUAAAAAAAUUUUGUUGUCAACCCUAUUUUAUUGUGUUUCUGAACGCACUAGAGAGUUGUUUUGCUUCAUUGCCAAUUUAUCUUUGGUCUUAGAGAUGAAGACACCCAGGUUUUAUUCCUCAUCUGAAGUUAGUGUUACAGACGUCGUAGUGAUCUUAGUGAUACUAAGAGCAGCCGUCCUCUGUGAGUCUCUACUGUAGACGGAGAACUUCUGAUACGGGAUUUUAUAAGCAGUCAUUUUUAGCCCCAUCAACAGAGGAAGGAGACGAGGUGCUGAGAGCUUAAGUAAGAACUGGUGCCAGGCCCACAGCUCACGACAGAGGAGCCGGACACCGUGGACCUGGGAAAAGCGCCUCCACCUCCAGGGGCCUCCAUGCUCUGAGAGUUCUAGACCCAGGUGUACGCCAGAGAGUUUCCAGUCUCUAAGUGCUGGGUCUGUGUAGGCAGGACAAUCUGCAUAACAAUAACCCAGAGCCAGAAAGAGGCCUGUGGUAAAGCGACUGAGAAAAACUCACAGAUUAAAGUCAACACAGCAAAGUAAUAAAACUAUGACUUUUGAUUGUUAUAUUGUUUUAUUAUUACAAGAUGCUUGAUUAUAACAAUUCAAAAGAACAUGCUCGUACUAUAUUAAAAAUAUUAAAAUGUGUGAGAGUAAAAACUAUGGUGUAAAGUAAAUCUUGUGUAAUUCUCCUAAAUGGAACGUGGUGCCAAGGAUCAGGUUUCGUUAGUGUUGUUUUUUAUAAAUUUAUUUAUUUAUUUAUGUUUGUCUUCUUUGGGUCUUUGUUGCUGUGCGCGACUUUCUGUAGCUGCGGCGAGCGGGGGCUACUCUUCGUUGUGGUGCACGUGCUUCUCCUGUUGUGGAGCGUGGACUCUAGGCGUGCAGGCUUCAGUAUUUGUGGCACGCGGGCUCAGUAGUUGUGGUGCAUGGGCUCAGUAGUUGUGGCUCGCGGGCUCUAGAGCGCAGGCUCAGUAGUUGCGGCGCACGGGCUUAGUUGCUCCGCGGCAUGUGGAAUCUUCCUGGACCAGGGCUUGAACCCGUGUCCCCUGCAUUGGCAGGCGGAUUCUUAACCACUGCACCACCAGGGAAGCCCUCCGUUAGUGUUUUUAUUGUUCUUUUUUUUUUUUUUUAAUGAAAUAACUAAAGGAAAAAAUGGCUUCCUUCAGAUUUAUAAAAGAAAUUGAAUUCAAGCCUGAUAGCAAAGUCAUUGUUUCUUGGUAAUCUUUAGUGUCAAUAUACUGUAAGACAAAAGGACAUGAAUUGGUUAAAUGGGCACCCCCCGCAUUCCCCCAGCCCCUGCAUAUGGCGCCCAUGUGACAUUUUUGCACAUCCUGAAACGUGGAGGUGGAAGCAUCAUUUCAUUCCUCUCUCUGGGUGUCCAGCAGUGACUGAUAUAAAUAUUUUAUCAGGCAAACCUGCAGGUUUCUGAAGAUUGUAUGUCUUAUCAAGUUAACCCUUAUAAUUACGUUGUCUUCGGCAGCUAUGGGAUCUCUUUUACUUUUGCCGUUCUUUGGUAAAUAUCGAACCGUAAGAAAGAUGUACAGCCGUAAGCUGAGACGUGCAAACCACUCCUGGCGUGACGUGGGGGUGAAGGGGCCCCCGCUCCAGGGCUCUGCACACGCCACCUCUCCGAGGAGAGGCCCAAUUAGGCCAGAAAGUAAUCUUCAUCCUUCCUGCCCCCCUGACCAGUCUUCUCUCUCUCUGCUCGGGUUUGGACCCGCCUCCCUCCUCCGUUUUGCAAGGGAACUUUCCUGCUGCAAUCACACCCCCCCCAGGAGGGGCCGGGGCGUUGGGGCAGGGAAGCUCGGGCUUGGCUGGGCUCCCGUCCUGCGCGCCCCUCCCCCGCCGGGGCACUGGUUUCUUCCUGUCAUCGUUUUGUGUUCUGCUCCGUGGCCCCGUGGGCACAGCCAUCAGAGCACCGGAUGCUUGACCCUUUGGUGCAAACGCUCGGCUGUCCUGCAUGGGGCAGGAGGGAGCCCCUUAUGGCCCCCGAGUGUGCACGGGGAGCGGCAGUCAGAGGUCAGCCCGCGUCCUUGAUGUGCCCCACCGCCCGCGCCGGCCUGUCUCUCCUCUCCACCCGUGCCCGCGGAGCCCAGCCCCGUACACGGCGCCUUUGAAGCUAAUGGAGGCUGCUCCUUGGAUGUGCCUGGCGGGGACCCUUCCUUCUCCACCGUGGGCACUUCUCUGUCUCUCUCUCCCUGCCUGCCUAUCUCAUCCUGAUCACUCGUGCUCAAAGGUAAUUACAUCUCUCACACCCCCUGUACACAUGGCCCCGAACGGGUCUCUGGAGAAAUGUUAUGAGCCGAACAACAUGGCAGGCAGUGAGCUCGAAAGCCACCAUCCGUGUUGAAUUCUGAGCGGUAGGAGAUAUAAAACAGGACAUGUCCAUGGAAUUGUGCAGCAGUGGGAGGGAGGCUCUCUCCUGCCUGACUUUCAUGAGGGUGCUUUCUGCCAGCCCUGUCUUGAGCCAUGUCCUGUGAAUGGUGAUGAUGGGACUUUGGUCCUGGGGUCCCCUGGGCAAGCCAGCUGUGUUCAGUCUUGCAGUGUAGGACCCCCUGGACCUGAGGGGGACUGGUGGUCAGUCCAGCUGGAGUCGGUCGGCUCUGAGCACUCACCAGCAUCCCGACCAAGGGCUCACCCCAAGGGAGGUACAAUCAAGGGCUGCAGAGGGUCGAGGACAAGGCCACCGACAGAGGUGGGAACUUCUGAGCGGGUGUGGUGACCAUCAAAUGGACUGCCUCAUAGCCCCAUACACUUGAAAGCAAUCUCUUCGGAAAGGAGGCAGCAGGUAAACGAAAAUGAGCUGGGGACACAGGAAGCACUGUGUCACCUCUAGAGAGAGUGCUGGUCUGGGGGUCGGAGGGCUCCUCUCCCCUGUGGGGUUACCCUCAGGACAGGGUGCAGGGCGGAGUGUGGGCUGCGCUAGUGCACAUCCUGAUGAAGGAGCAGGGAGAUGCCAGCAGGCUGGGGUGGCAGCACCCUGUGUUCCCUUGGGCCACGUCAGCAGCACCCUUGUGGCACUGGCCCCCAGGUGGACCCCAGCCUCAGUGGCUUCAUGGGGUCUUGAGUCCAUCUGGUAGUUCUGGUGUUGGCAGCAACAGGUGAAUGGCUGCUAAAGAAGAUAAAAAUGGCAAACGUCGGGGGCAGGUGAGGAAAAAGCCACAAGGACGCCUGGGACAGACCGCCUCCCUAGAGAUCCCCCCGCCCAGACUCUCUUUGUCUCCGACUUUCUCUCUCUCUCUCUUUUUUUGUUACUAGAAUUUAGGACUUUUACCUUGUCCCAAAGUGCCUGAAGCAGAGAGCGUGAUAAAACAUCUUGCUUUCUUUUAUAGUCCCCCCCCAAGCAAAAGCAAAAACAAAAACUAUGUGUUGGAAAAAAAUUAGUUUUGCACAUGGGAUUUUGUACAAUAUAAAUUCAAAGCCUACACAUGAGGGUUAGCUCUGUUGCACGUUCUGGGACAUUUCCCUUCCCAUACGCAUCUUAGAAUAAGCCUAUAUAUGUCCACAAAAAAACUUUCCUGUGACUUACACAGCAAUCACAUUAAACCUAUAGGUUUGUUUGGGGAGAACUGACAUCUUUACUAUGUUGAGUAUUCUAAUCCGUGAACACAGUGUGUGUCUCCAAUUAUUUUGGUCUUUUUUAUUCCUUUCAUCAGUCAUCAUUUUGUAAUCCUCAGCAUACAAGUACGUGUUUGUUUCUUUGGAGCAGUUAUAAAUGGUAUUACAUUUCUGGUUUUGAUUUUUCCUUGUGUAGCGUUUGUUUAUAGAAAUCAAGUUGAUUCUUGUAUGUUUAUAUUAUAUCCUGUGAUCUUGCUGAACUCAUUUAUUAAUUCUAGAAGUUUCUGCAGAUUACUUAGGAUUUCUACAUGGACAAUCAUAUUAUCUGUGAAUAUAGGCUAUAUUUUCUUUUUUUUUUUCAAAUCUGUAUUCCUUUUUAUUUCUCUUUCUUGCCAUAUUGCACUGGCUGGAACUUCUAGCACUAGGCUUAGUUAGAGUGGUGAGAGCAGACAUACUUGCCUUUUCCCCAGACUUAAGGAGAAAAUGUUCAGUCUUUCACCAUUAAGUGUGAUGUUAGCUGUAAGUGUUUUUUGUAGCUGAUCUUUACUAGGCUUAGGAAGUUCCCUUUUAUUCCUAGUUUGCUAAGAAUCAUAAUUAUUAAUGGGUAUUAGAUUUUUUCAGAUGCUUUUUCAAUACCAAUUAAUAUAAGCUUAUGAUUUUUCUUCCUUAGUCUGUUGAUGUAUGGAUUACAUUGAUUUAUCUUUGAAUAUCGAGUCAUCUUUGCAUACUUGGAAUAAACCCAACUUGGUCAUGGUGUAUUAUGCUUUUUGUACAUUACUAGAUUCAGUUUGCUAAAUCUUUUGAGUAUUUUACGUUUAAGUUCAUGGAAAAUAUUGGUCUGUAGUUUUCUUUUGUCUUUGGCUGUUUUGGGUGUCACAAUAAUACUGGCUUCAUAAAAUGAGUUGGGAAGUAUUGUGUCCUCUGCUAUUUUCCAGAGGAGAUUUUGUAAAUGUGAUGUUAAUUCUCUAAAUGUUUGUAAAUUCUCCAGUGAAAUCAUCUGGGCAUGGAGAUUUCUUUUUCUGGAGCUUUUAAAUUACAAAUUCAACUUUUUAUGGGUUGUGUGAGGCUACAUAUUUUUUCAUUUUUGAAAAGCAGGAGGCCGGUACUAUGACAGCUUCUCGGGUAAGAAGUACAGGGCUGGAGGGGAGGGAAAGGAAUAAGUGGAGAUAAUUCAGGUCAGUAUCGUCACGAUCCUGAGAUUUCCCGCUUAUAAAAUGGUCCAUUUGUUGGCUAUGGCGCGUAAUGCAAAAGUUCAUCUUUAUUUUUAUACCUAAUAUUCCUGAGACAUUUCUGGCAUGAUUUUGAUAAACUUUACCAUUUCCUAUUUCUCUUUCUCUUUUUUAAAAUUUAUGACCUUUACAAUAUAGAAAUACUUCUGGUCUUAACCUAGUUUUCACUCUCCUUUUCUCUCUAUUAUAUUUAGAAUGUGUUUCCAAAGUCAGUUUAUUUUCUUGAGUUUGUUACAGAAGAAGCAAGCACCUGCCCAGGUAACUAAUGGAAGCUGAGAAUCUGUUCCCGGGAUGGCUCUCCCUUUGCAAAGUACAGUUUUUAAAAGAUUUCAUGCUCCGCGGGCUCCUCUGUCAGUGUCAGUGGAGAAAGUGUCACCGGGCUGAGAAUGUAACAUAUGUUGCUGUUUCAAACACACCUGUGGGAAAUAUAAGCACAUACGGAUACUUUCUGCAUCUGUAUCUGCGACAACUGCAGUGUGGCCUUUGGCAAACUGGUUUUCCCUUUGGGACCUAGAAGAAUACUUGCUACCAGGUAAUGUUUAUAAAGGGCUGGCAAAUGCAUUAUUUUAAAAAUACAGUUUUUGGGGCUUCCCCGGUGGCGCAGUGGUUGGGAGUCCGCCUGCCGAUGCAGGGGACACGGGCUCAUGCCCCGGUCCGGGAAGAUCCCACAUGCCACGGAGCGGCUGGGCCCGUGAGCCAUGGCCGCUGAGCCUGCGCGUCUGGAGCCAUGGCUCCGCAACAGGAGAGGCCACAACAGUGAGAGGCCCACAUACCGCAAAAAUAAAUAAAUAAAAAUACAGUUGUUUUUUUUUUCAUUAAGCUGGGAACGAGAUGUAAAUCAUGUCAGCAAGACCUUUUGAAACAAUAAUUUGUCUUUAGGAAAAAUGUCUUGCAAAUGUUCCCAAUGUAUCUUUUAAAAUGAAAAAUAAAUGCCCAAAAGACCACUUGUCUGAUGGCCCAUGAUGAUGAAAUGGGAGAGUGAUUUCCACUUGGAGCGUGUGAUGCACACACAGAAGAUUGUAGAGCGAGGGGCCCUCUUGGCUUGGUUUUUGUCUGUAGGGACAGGAAGGUAACCUACUUCCUGUCUGGUAACCCAUCCACCCAGCACAGCCAAGGCUGGGACUGCUGGUCCCCCCAUCUGGAAUCAUCCCACAAAAACCCUCCUGUUGUUUAGAAGUGCAUUAUUGUCAGUAAAUAAACGCUGUCAUCUCAGGGUUUAGGAUGUUAAGCGAGAGGGAUAUUGCAUUAAUCACUUGCAUCCCAAAGCAGGUCUUGCUUCCCGGAAAGCAGGAUAAAUAGCAUAUUUGCUAUUGCUGUAUAACUCGCUGUAUAAAUAGCAAAUUCAUAUUCUAUUGAUGUAUAGCUUUGGACCGCUAUUUAUUUUACCUUCAAAAAGUGUGAAACACUCCUGAUCUUUUUAUUUCUUCGGGGAUGAACAAUUACAGCAUCAAGAGACGUUUAAAUAAUGCUUAAUUUUUAAUGCAAGAGAACGAGACAGAUGGAAGUGUUCUGCCCAGACUUCAGAUCAGGUUUCUGGUUUUUAAGCUUAACGUGCAGUAUCGGCCUAUUAAGUGGCAUUCUUUUAUUUGCUAUGUUCUCCAUCCCCAUCAGACGUCAUUUCCAUUGAUGUUUUGUAUUGUUUGCAUGUUAGCACAUCUCCUAUUAAAAUACAGGGGCUGAAGGGGAAAAUAAUUAGAUUUAUGGCUUUGUACUCUGAGUUUCCAAUUUAAAGGUCUGUUAAAAACUAACUCACGCUGUGGUACGUACAUGGCCAUUAUCUGUUUAAAUUAGCUUAUCAGCACAAAGUUUCUCCUUUCUCGAUUUUCCUGGAGAGGAGGAAAGCUGACGACUGACCUCUCCACUCAGUUCAGACACAACUUUGGAUUAAUCGUCACAGCAAAACCCUCUUGACCCAGUGGUCACAUCACUAGCCAAUUCAUGAUGAUAAUUUCUACAUAACUUUUUAAUACUCAAACUUCUUUAGGACAGCUGGACAGCAGUGACAUCCUGAGCCUUCAGGCAAGCAGGAGGAAUUUUUGAGCGACUGGUCCCGAGGCUCUGGUGGGCCUGCUCUUACAGCCGUCCACCUGGAGGAUCCACAGGACAGAUGCUCAGAGCAGCCUGUGGGGAGAUCAGACCAGGGGCUGAAACCCCGGGUCAGUCCUGAAGAUGGUGGGAAAAGGAGGCCAGUAUUUUGGGGUGUCACAGCUCUAAAUACACAUUCUAUCUACUGGCUGAGUCUAGGCUCAUGAGAUGAAAGAUAAAGAGUUUAAAACGACGGACUUGCAGAUAUACCAAUGUGAGAUUCAACCCUGGUUCUCCUGCUUUAGAAGUUUUACUUGGGAUGAUUUCCUGUCACUUUUUGAGUCCAUUUCCUCAGUUUUAAAAUGUGGGAACUACUAGUUUUGUUUAAAUAACUUCACACCUUUUCUGUCUGGGAAAACUUUUUUCCCAUAAAUGGAACAGACUAAGUCUGAGGUAACCCACGAUGCCUUCCUGUUGCUCUAAAUUCUCUCUGACCCUUCCACUCGUAUGUAAUACCUUGUGGUUUAAGCAUGAUGUAGAAAGGAAACCAUGGAAAAAAUGUGGACAGUAACGUCAACUUCUCAUGAUUAGAGAGAGUAUGUGUAACCCCGGUUUGCUGGUUUAUUGGUGACGCUAAUGACAUAAUAGGCUUCAUGUCCCCUGUAACAUAGUGGGUUCAGACAGCAACCUUCUGGACGUGUCUGGGGCCAGGUGGAUUUAGAGUCCUGAAUCCAUCAUCUUGGGCUGGUCCUUGUGCCUCAGAGUUUUUAUUUGUCAAACAGGGAUAAAAAUACCUACCCUGAGAGUUUUGUUAAGAAUUCUAGGUGUUUUCUGUAACAAGCCAGCCAGCGUUAGGAGCCUGCCUCCUGCCUGAGAUAUUGAGGAAUUUGCUACGUGAUGCUGUCUUCAUAGCACCCCUAGGAGGUACAGUUGUUGUUACUGGCUUUCCCUGGACACCCAGGAAGAUGGGGCUCCCCUGCCACUGCCAUGUAAAUGGCUCUUGUUGAGUUGACCCAGCCAGCGUUUUCCCUCAGGAACUUCCUUUAAAGCCGGGUCCCCAUCCCUGGCCUUGUGUCCGAAGCGUUCAGUAGUGAUAAUUUCUAGAAACCUUCGUCACUGAUGACAAGAUGGAUUCAGUCGGGACCCAGGUAUCAGCAGUGACCCAAAUCCUUCCUAAUUAAUUGCAGCUUCUUUACGGUUGAUCUACUGUAGUGUAGGAAGUGGCUGGAUUCAAAACAACUGAAAACCUCUUGCAAACCAAAAAUAAUUGUAAAAAAUUUUAAAAAAUCAGUGUCUUCAAGGAAGGCCAUCACUUUAAAUAUACACCUCUCAGAAAGUUUAUCUGAUGAUACAGUUUUAAGCUCUAUAGAGGAAGCAGUAUUCAGUAUGCGUUAGGAGGAGGAAGAUACGCGCACAAAUGCCUUCACUUUCCUCCAGAGACGUUAAUACCUUCAGAAGCCACAUGCCCAGCCUGAGGAGCAGCAUAAAAGAGGUCAGCGGGGGAGACAGCCCGACUCAACCUUUUUUCUGGCUGUGCAACCCAGGACAGCGCAACCUGCGAUCUGGUCUUUCAAAGCUUAAGGCUCCAUAUCUGUAAAGUGGGAUAGUGCCACCGACACCUCGGAUUUCGAGAAUUAAGUGAAACAACAUAUAUAAAUACACGUAAAUCACGUGGGUCCAACCUUGACACAGCGUGGGUGUUUAAGAACUGCUCCCUUCUGGUCCUGUGAUUGUGGGGAGAAAGCAAAAGCAUUUCGUUUGUUAAAUGUUCUAUUACCACAUUUCUGACUUGGGGUUUUGCAAUCCUGUAUGCGUACCCUCCAAGGCGUCUUUCAUCUCCAGAAUCCCCAUGCGCUACAAACCUAGCACAUGAAGAUAACCCACCAUGAUUCACAGGGACCCCUAAUCCACUCCUGGAGCACGACCACCCCUGGGUAAAAAGAUCAACAAAUAUUUAUCAGCUACAUAACGCCGCGACUAAAUUCAAUGGAGUCCUUUUAUAGGAUUUCCCAAAGGACGGAGAUAAGAAAGCUGUGGGUGAUGGCGCUGUUACACCUGUGUGUGUUUAUCCAGGUCUUUAGAAGAUCAAUACUGUAAUCAGGGAGUCAAAUAUUAGGCAAUUAUAAGACUUCAGAGACUAGAUGAUGAAUUCAGUCCCUUUUUCUCCAGUUGGGUGAUGCAUUUAAAUCAGAAACAAUCAUCUUGCCCCCAAAGGGAGUGGUGCUCCCUUGUGGACCGUGAAAGCACAGGCUGAGGAUCCUCUGCCUUCUGUUUGUUUGUGUAUUUUUCAAAAUAAGCGAUGCAUCUUCUCCAGUAAACCCCGGGUGUUAAUCAAAAGACAGGAACGGCUCAUCAGCUCCGCGCUUGCACUCGGCUAAUUGCAUUAAAAUUCCUGCGUGCGCAGCGGACGGCACAGCCGCCUGGAGCGUACAGUCAGUCCCGGCUCCUCUCCCUCUCAUAUCCUGCUGUCUGUUUGCCUGAGGUUCUGAGCCGUGUUCAACUCUGAGAGAUCUCCAGACCUCGGAGCGUGCAUAGUCCUGUCCGAGAGUCAUCAGACUUCCAGGAAAUCCACUUGGCUAGAUGUGUGUGACCUUCACUUUGUCUUCAUUGAGCUGCCCAGUCGGCAGAGCCUUGAUUUCUCAAUAUUUGAAAUAGGAUUGACAGCUGAUCCCCUCUAUGCCUGGAGAGUCUCGGUGAGGCGCACCUGAGCGUAGCGGCCAGGAGCCAGUCGAUUGCCAAGAGAGGCGUCUGGCCCUUCAGAGACCGGCCCCGAGGGUCUGCACACGGAAGAGCCGCAGCAGAGCCGCUGCUGUUUCACAUUUGGGGUUCUCUGGAUCCACCAUUUCCCAGAGGGGAGGCUUUUAAAGGGAAGGCUGAUAAGGAGGAGAGCAGACCUUCAAAGACGAAGGCACUGAAUCCCCAGCAGCAAGGCCCUGCGAAGCACAUAGUAGGUCCUCACAGUGAAUGGCUGGACGGUUAAAGAGACGGGGCGGGAAGGGCAGGCAGGUGAUGGCAGGGAGAAGGGAAGGGCCCCCGAGACAGGGUGUGAGGGACAGGAGGUGUGUGCCUGGGAAGCUACGCUUCGGAGAGACGGGGAGCAUCAGAGUCAGAAAAAUAUGGGAUGUGGUUUAUCGUCACUGAGGACGUAUAUUAUGUGUCAGGAGCUGUGCUGAGCAAUUGGCAUGCAGGUCUCAGGACCUUCCCAAGAAGCCUGUGCACAGAUUGUCCAGACGUCACAGGGGCAGAAGUCCCAGCCAGGCGGGUCGGCGCCGCCCUUGUGCUCCUCACGGCUCUGGUUUUGUCGACAUCCGGGUUGGCAAGCUUCUCCUGUAAAGAGCUAGGCAGUAGAUAUUUUAACUCUGUGGGUCCUACAGUCUCUGUCACAGCUACCCUUGCAGCUCAAAAGCGUCCACAGACAAUAUGUAAAUGAAUGGCCAGGGCGAGGUACCAGAAAACUUUAUUUACAAAACAGACAGUGGGCCAGAUGUGGCUCAGCAGCCUAGCUUGCUGAGGCCCCGUUUACAUCAAAGUGGGCGGCUUCACUGGGGGACGAAGGCCAGUAAGUGUGGAGGGGGGGUAGACGGAAGGGGUGUAGGAGACGCCAGAGCAUGUUUGGGAGGCACGGGAGAAGGGAGUGACGCUGGUCGCUGCAGCUGGUCGUGAUGGUGGUGGUUCUUACCGUGGUUUAAUUGUAUAAUCGUUUCUGCUUCUAACAAAUGUUCACACAUUUUAAAAAUAUAAGUUAGAUCAGUCGGUGUCCUCGACUGGAAUCUCUUCCUUCCUAAGUGCCACUGCCCCGCACCUCCUUGUCAGUGACCCCUCCCUUCCUGUGGACAUGCUCAGCUGAGUUCCAGGAGGCGCUGGACCCUGCAUGAGAGGCAGUCUGAGUAGCUGAGUUUAUAAAGCAUGUAUUUCUCAUCUCAGUCCUUUCAUUAGCGCCAAUCGGUUUUGGAAGGGAGUUGAUGUCUUUUUAUGUGUCCUACAAAAAAUAUCAAAUGCAAGCAUGGAUGAAUUUUCAGCUAGUGAAAGUCACCUUGAUUUAAUAAUUUGUACAUGUAUUUUCUGUUUGUUACAAGUGCUCUGCUACAAGUAGAUCAUUUUAUCAAUUCAUUUUUGUUGACAGUAAAAUACCUUGGAACUAAAACACGGAGGUGGCGCAUUAGAACAAACUUGAACUUUCAGUUGCAAAGCACUGAUCUGCGUUAACAGUUCAAAGAAAAAUGCAGAAAAUGCUGCCUCUUGUCCAACAAGAAAACAAUCCAAGGACACAGCUGUUGAUGUGCCCGAGAGUGAGACGGGCUCGUCGUGUUUUGUGCCCAGCGAGGGGCACUCCAGAAGCAUCACCCUCAUUUGCUUUGUCUUCCCUCUUCUGCUUCGUCAACAGCUUGCCUCACUGCGCAUUAGCCAUACCAAGGAAAAUGUCUGCUUGUCCUGAUUAAAGUACCCCUUUGACAAAG